rnacentral:rRNA from 1 species
UACGUAGGGUGCAAGCGUUGUCCGGAAUUAUUGGGCGUAAAGAGCUCGUAGGCGGCUUGUCGCGUCGGCUGUGAAAACCUGGGGCUCAACCCCGGGCCUGCAGCCGAUACGGGCAAGCUAGAAUUCGGUAGGGGAGACUGGAAUUCCUGGUGUAGCGGUGAAAUGCGCAGAUAUCAGGAGGAACACCGGUGGCGAAGGCGGGUCUCUGGGCCGAUAUUGACGCUGAGGCGCGAAAGCUAGGGGAGCAAACAGG